GAAGGUAUAGCUCAGUGGUAGAAUGUGUGCUUAGUAUGCUCAAGGUCCUGGGUUCAAUUCCCCAGUACCUCCA
rnacentral:tRNA from 1 species